GCUCUUGUGGCGCAAUUGGCUAGCGCGUUCGGCUGUUAAUUUGCUUUACAUAAGCAAAAGCAACCGGAAGGUUGGUGGUUCAAGCCCACCCAGGAGCG